UACGCUAAUAGAUGGCGUUGUUGUUAAAAUUUGACAUAUUUAAUUAAUUUAUGUAUGAUAAUGUAAAUAUUCUUAAAAAGUAAUAAGUUUCACGGUAAUAGUAUGCUGUUUCUUACGUGUUCAACUCAGUUUGAGACGAGGUUUAGUGUAUAAAACAAGUUUAUUUGUAUAAUUUAAAACCCAGCAGUGACAGCGAAGUAUUCACACACACACUCAAAACGUUUUACCUAUGACCAAAAUAAAAUUCGUGAAACGGAACGCAAACUUGUCAUGAUUGACAGAUGUCAAAGUCAGAAAGCCCAUGAAAUGCCGGAAUCAAGUUUCAACAAGAUAUGUUGUAUACGUGCGAAAUAUUUUUAAAAAAUUCACCACGUCGUACAGGACGAUCAACGAAACUCUCGACUUCUUUAUGAGCAUUCAGGUGGAUACAUCUCUCAAUAUGUUCGUAAUCUCAGAGAGCGUCUAAAGCGAGCAAUCCGAUGAUAGCUUUAUGCUCGACGACAUUGGAAUGACGAAGAUUGGAUCAAUGCGAAAUUAGCUCAAAUUCAGAAUACGGAUACAGAAGAUGACGUUUUAUUUCGUGAGUGAGCCAUCCAUCAAUUUGUGUCAACAAGAACAGUCCCAAAGCAUCCAAGAAAGUACCAGUGUUUCUAUUACUGACUUGAUUAUAUAAAUCAUGCUAUUUAUUUAAUAAAUUCAAGUAAUACUAACUACAUUUAUAGCAAUUAAAAUAUAUGUCCGAGCUUAUAUUUUCAUUGUUAUGUAUAUAUAACAGGUGGGUUAAUACAGGUAAUCCUGUUAGCCUGCCCCAGAGUCACCGAUGCCAAGCCCUGUUCCCAAGGUAUAACAGAAACUCUGCUUUGAAGCCUUAUGAUGAAAUGGGAUUCUUACUGUCAAGACCUGAUGAAGCAUUACAAGGAUCCCACAGAGAGCUUAAGUAUUUUAUGGACAUAAAUAUAAUAAUGGAAGUGCCUAGCCCUGUUGCAGUGCUCUACAAAAAUAAAACAAAUCAUAGAAACUAAA